AGAAGAAGAAGACAAAGAAGAGGAACGGCGAAAACGCUCGUUUUUGUCCGCUCCUCUUUCUUCAAUACUUUCUUCAAAACCUUUGUCUUCUUCUUCUUCUUCUUCUUC
rnacentral:ribozyme from 14 species